rnacentral:snRNA from 10 species
UUGCUUUGGCAAUGCACAUAAAAAAAAAUUGGAAUGACAGAGAUUACCCUGGCCCCUGCACAAAAGUGACACUCAAAUUCAUGAUGGUCCCGUCUUUA